UGUGUGCAUAUAUGUGAGUAGGGUUCUCUACUGACAAUGUUCUCUCCUUCACUUACUUCCAAAGCUACUCCUAUCAAUCAAUGGCAAUUCUUCCGAGAGACUCUAAGUAAGACUCAUUAGCUGAAUUAUACAUAUAAUCAUGCAUAUGCAAUAGGAAUUUUUAAAUCAUUCUCAUAAGCUCAAUCAUUUCCAGUACACUGAUGCAGUCUUAUGCUGUGCAAUCACCUGUUGUGGUACUAUGAAGGCUAUGAGACAUGUUGAACUAAUAAACAGAGUCCCUUACACAUUGAAAUAUUGGGAAAAAAAUGUACAUUUUCUUCAUUUUGCUUUUUAUUAAAGAGACUUUUUUAGAGUUUGUUUUUGUUUUGUUUUGUUUUGUUUUGUUUUUCCCCACAGUUUACAUUAAUAAAUGAAUCCUAAACUGUGUUUUUAUUUGAGGAUUCUGUUACGCCAGUCUGGAAGUGGAAUGAAAUCAUCCAGUGGGAGUAAAGUGCAGCUAUAUUCACUUUAAGACCUCUAUGUACUCUGAGAGGGAAGAGUUCAGCAUCUGGUUUUGAAUGAACCAACACCUCAGUUCAAGGUGAUGGAUGCCCUUAAAAGGUGCUUAUGGAAACUGAGACCAUAUUGUACCUGAUAGAUUUUGGCUUCCUUUGAAUGUGUGUCAUCUAUGAAGAUACAGUAUAAGAACCAAAAGAAAAAGCAUCACCUGACUGACAGAGAACUUCCUGCAAGAGGCAUUUUUCAGGACGGACUGAUAAUUUUGUCAGCCUGUUCAUUAUUCUACAGUAAUUAAACAAAUGGAACCCCAAGAAAACCUUCAAACUAAAUUGCUUUUUAUAAACAUCUAGGUCACUGUUCUUUUUUCUUUUUUUUUUUUUUUUUUUUUUUUUUUUCCUGGACCUAAUUUCAUGGGCCACUUUGGUAUCUUAGUAUGAUUUUAUAAGAAUGAAGUCACUGUCACAUAGAAAGGACAAGGUCAAUCCAGAUGAAAAAUAGACACAACAAUAAUCUUUUCAGAAAGGAAUAAUGGCAUUCAUAUUCAUAAUGGUAUAUUUUAAUCGAAUAGCACAAAAAGGCCCAGGAACACAAAGACUAGGUAGCCAG
rnacentral:lncRNA from 1 species